rnacentral:rRNA from 1 species
AACAAACGCUGGCGGCGUGCCUAAUACAUGCAAGUCGAACGGGGAAAGCUUUCGGGUGAGUACUAGUGGCGCACGGGUGAGGAACGCGUGGAUAAUCUGCCUUAGAGUGGGGGAUAACUAGUCGAAAGAUUAGCUAAUACCGCAUAAGACCACAGGAGCUGCGGCUCAAGGGGUCAAAGGUUUUUCGCUCUAAGAUGAGUCCGCGUAAGAUUAGCUAGUUGGUGAGGUAACGGCUCACCAAGGCGACGAUCUUUAACUGGUCUGAGAGGAUGAUCAGGCACAAUGGAACUGAGACACGGUCCAGACUCCUACGGGAGGCAGCAGUAGGGAAUAUUGCACAAUGGAGGAAACUCUGAUGCAGCGACGCCGCGUGAGUGAUGAAGGCCUUCGGGUCGUAAAGCUCUGUCGCAGGGGAAUAACACAAUGAAGGUACCCUGUAAGAAAGGAUCGGCUAACUUCGUGCCAGCCGCCGCCGUAACAC